rnacentral:lncRNA from 1 species
GAGCCAUGUGGGCAGAGCGCCCUGGGCUGACUGAGCCCAGCUCUGUCUGGUAGGUCACACCCACUUGUGACCAGAAGCCAGUGAGUACCCCCAGCAUGCCCAACAGCACCCCACAGAACCCCAAAGGUACCGCCACAACAGAGACCACCACCCCCCGCCCCGGCCUCUUGGCUGUACAGCUACAUGGUGCCACACUACAGAGGCACAGGGGGACAUAAAGGCCAUUCUUCUGAGCUGCAGAAAUGAACAAAAGAGAGAAGGCCUCUCAGGCUCCAUGAUGAAAACUGAAGCCCACUGGAAAAGUGCAGAAAAUCUCUGCAAUAAAGGCACACCAGACCACCAUACUGGGAUAUCUAUGAAAAGAUGAACAAUCAUCUUCUCCAUUCAUCAGCCUCAGUAUUCCAUCUUUGAGCUGUUUGAUAGCCUCAUCUUAUUGGCCUCAGAAAAACUAGUAUUCCAUGGUCCUACACAGGAAGCCUUGGAGUACUUUAAAAGAGCAGCCAGCAAGACUGAAGAACUUCCCAAGGGAGAAAAGUCAGUCACAGAAAAAUUAGCUGAGUUUUAUGCCAUCUCCUCUUUCUACAGAGACACAAAAGCUGAAUUAGAUCAACUCUUAUGUGGUCAAGGAAACAAGGGGAUCUCAGCCCUCAAAGAGAUCACCUGGGUCACAUCCUUCUGCCAACAGCUCAGAAGGAUUAUCUGGCAUUCAUUCAAACACUUGCUGGGUUAUCCCCCUGUCACUUUAGUUCAGAUGUUCUGGUGAUGAAUUCUUGACAAUCCAAGGCAUCAAUCUCUCACCUUGAGGCUUGUGGAAGAAAUCACUUGAUUUUGACUUGUACAAUAAUUAUCUCCCUUACAAUUGCC